CAGGCUAACACAUGCAAGUCGAGCGGUAACAGAGGGUAGCUUGCUACUUUGCUGACGAGCGGCGGACGGGUGAGUAAUGCCUAGGGAACUGCCCAGUCGAGGGGGAUAACAGUUGGAAACGACUGCUAAUACCGCAUACGCCCUACGGGGGAAAAGAGGGGCCUUCGGGCCUUCUGCGAUUGGAUGUACCUAGGUGGGAUUAGCUAGUUGGUGAGGUAAUGGCUCACCAAGGCGACGAUCCCUAGCUGUUCUGAGAGGAUGAUCAGCCACACUGGGACUGAGACACGGCCCAGACUCCUACGGGAGGCAGCAGUGGGGAAUAUUGCACAAUGGGCGCAAGCCUGAUGCAGCCAUGCCGCGUGUGUGAAGAAGGCCUUCGGGUUGUAAAGCACUUUCAGCGAGGAGGAAAGCUUAAGCGUUAAUAGCGUUUAGGUGUGACGUUACUCGCAGAAGAAGGACCGGCUAACUUCGUGCCAGCAGCCGCGGUAAUACG
rnacentral:rRNA from 1 species